rnacentral:rRNA from 1 species
UGGGGAAUUUUGGACAAUGGGCGCAAGCCUGAUCCAGCCAUGCUGCGUGUCUGAAGAAGGCCUUCGGGUUGUAAAGGACUUUUGUCAGGGAAGAAAAGGAUAGGGUUAAUACCCCUGUCUGAUGACGGUACCUGAAGAAUAAGCACCGGCUAACUACGUGCCAGCAGCCGCGGUAAUACGUAGGGUGCGAGCGUUAAUCGGAAUUACUGGGCGUAAAGCGGGCGCAGACGGUUACUUAAGCAGGAUGUGAAAUCCCCGGGCUCAACCUGGGAACUGCGUUCUGAACUGGGUGACUAGAGUGUGUCAGAGGGAGGUAGAAUUCCACGUGUAGCAGUGAAAUGCGUAGAGAUGUGGAGGAAUACCGAUGGCGAAGGCAGCCUCCUGGGAUAACACUGACGUUCAUGCCCGAAAGCGUGGGUAGCAAACAGGAUUAGAUACCCUGGUAGUCCACGCCCUAAACGAUGUCGAUUAGCUGUUGGGCAGCUUGACUGCUUAGUAGCGAAGCUAACGCGUGAAAUCGACCGCCUGGGGAGUACGGUCGCAAGAUUA